GAUGAACGCUGGCGGCGUGCCUAAUACAUGCAAGUCGAGCGAACGGACGAGAAGCUUGCUUCUCUGAUGUUAGCGGCGGACGGGUGAGUAACACGUGGAUAACCUACCUAUAAGACUGGGAUAACUUCGGGAAACCGUAGCUAAUACCGGAUAAUAUUUUGAACCGCAUGGUUCAAAAGUGAAAGACGGUCUUGCUGUCACUUAUAGAUGGAUCCGCGCUGCAUUAGCUAGUUGGUAAGGUAACGGCUUACCAAGGCAACGAUGCAUAGCCGACCUGAGAGGGGGAUCGGCCACCCUGGAACUGAGACCCGGUCCAGACCCUUACGGGAGGCAGCAGUAGGGAAUCUUCCGAAAUGGGCGAAAGCCUGACGGAGCAACGCCGCGUGAGUGAUGAAGGUCUUCGGAUCGUAAAACUCUGUUAUUAGGGAAGAACAUAUGUGUAAGUAACUGUGCACAUCUUGACGGUACCUAAGAAGAAAGCCACGGCUAACUCCGU
rnacentral:rRNA from 1 species